UCCAAACCUGGUUGUACAUUAAAAGAGGCUGGGUGGCAUGUGAAAAAAUACAGAUUCCAGAGACCUAGCACGACCUACUGACUCGAAAAUCGUGUGCUGGAGGGGCCCAGCAACCUGGCUUUGGAACCUGCUGCCUGGCGAUUUCAGCGUAGGCAGGCCUGUCGCUGAGACUGAGAACCAGAAGCUUGGCCACGCCCCACGGCCCUUCUAGCUUCGCGGAGUGUGGAUUCGGGGUCUCCUGACCCCCUCCCUGCUCCGCCCGGCAGUGCUCCACCACCACCCACACCACACACAAGGAACCUGUCGGCCCCUUUCUUUGGUGACUCCUUCGGGCCUCGGGGAGGUCUCAGAAUUUUGUGGACGUUCAGCAAACGAGCCCUUUGCUCCAGCGUUUGCGGGUGGCUCAUCAACACCUGUGUCAGAUUGCUGGGUAACGGUGGUUCCUUCCAGGAUAAUAUGCUGCCUCUGUAGAGCACUUAAAAAGCUCAUCUUCGGGCACUUGCACUCACUUUCACACGGCGCUGGAAUCGCGAGCCCUUUCUGUCCGUCUCGCCGUGUGAGUUGGAGUCCGCAGAGGGGACACAGAUGGGAAUGAUGUUGACCUGAGAGAUCUGUAGCAACACAAUCAGACAAGGGCUUAGAAGCAUCUUUCUGCCCAUGAAUCCUCCAGUCCAGUGUUUCCUGCUGAGUAAAGCAAUCUCCGAGUCAUCCAGGAGAGUAAGAUUUAUGCCAGGGGAUACACAGAUCACGUGGAGUCUGGCGGCAGAACCCUCAGGGACCAAAGUGUGUGCCUGGCGUCUGGAUGGAGCAUGACAAGGAGAUGAGCAUAAAACCUUUAGGAGAGUAAGGAAGGAGGAGCUCCGGGGGAGGAGCUAAGCCAUCUGCCCAGGAAUGUGGAGAUUUAUCUUCAACACAGAGGGCACUUCAGCCCAAUCUGACUCGUGGGAGCAGCUCAGCCCAGUCGGCACCUCAGCCCAGUCGGCACCUCAUGCUGGACUCUAUGUAAAAGGGGGAUCCAGCUAAGCCCCCCCAGUAGCAGGCAGAGCCCUGAACUGGUCUCCUGCCCUUGUCUCCAUUGCCAUGCCUCUCCCAGCUCCAGAACACCAGCCGUUACUUUCCACCACUCUCCCCUCUCACUUCAGGUUGGAUGCUGAACUCCGAACGUCUCAGGAAUGACACUGACUUUACAAAUCGGCAGCCCCCUCGCCCCUGCUCCCCACCCUCUGCCACCACAUAAUCUCAGGGAACACGCCUGAGGGUGUGACCCAGCCCUGAGACCUUCCAUCAGGCAUCACGGGUCCUGUCCUGGGCAACAUCCUGUGUAACCAGUUAGGAAAAAUUUGAUUCAGCCUUGGAGCAAAUGAAAAAGUAACUACAGUUCACACUUGUUAUGUCGUGAGAAGACCUGAAAAAAAAUUAUCUUGUUGACAUAAGGAAGUAAGAAUUUUAAGUGCUGUGUUGGUGAAUAUAUAGAUAUUUUCUUAUCCAAGUGUAAUUGACAUACAAUGUCCUAUCAGUGCUAGGUGUAUAUCACAGCAUUUAAUAUUUUUAUUCAUUACGAAAUGAUCCCCAUGCUAAGCCUAGUCACCAUCUGUCGCCAUACAACCUUGCUACAAUAUUAUUGACUAUACUCCCUAUGCUGCACAUUACAUCCCCCUAACUUAUUUAUUUUAUAACCGGAAGUUUGUACCUCUUCAUAUCUUUCACCUGUUUUUCCAGCCCCAAGCCCC